GGAGAGAUGGCCGAGCGGCUUAAGGCGCACGCUUGGAAAGCGUGUGUAGGUUAAUAGCCUACCGAGGGUUCGAAUCCCUCUCUCUCCGCCA
rnacentral:tRNA from 1 species